rnacentral:tRNA from 1 species
GGGGACGUAGCUCAAUUGGUUAGAGCACAGGCUUGUCGAGCCUGGGGUUGCGAGUUCGAGUCUCGUCGUCCCCG